UGUGCAUUGUUUAUUUAUAAAGCUCAAUUUUUAUAAUAUUUCUGGAUCCUCAGAUCAGUAUCAAGUGAAUAAUUGAAAUGUCAUAGCAGGAAAAUCAAAGCAGUACAGAGAUGUUAUCCUUUGUUUAGUGGAGGUGUGCCUCAAAAGCUUGAUUGGCAGACAUUCAAAUAUAGAUGUGUCCAACUAUAUACCAAUGAUCAGAGUAUGAUCAAAUUACACAAUCCAGACCAAGCUAAAACAUAUAUACAAUUCAAUUCAAUUCAAUAUUUUAUUGGAAAGGGGACAAUAGAGGUGUGAUCCAAAUACAUAUAUAGUUAACAAUUACAUCUACAACAUAUAAAAUAACUGUAAAAACCAGUCUUAUUCAGUUUACAAGUAAUAAAUUAUUCCUUAUUG